rnacentral:ncRNA from 1 species
UGAGUUCGAUCCUGGCUCACAAGGAACGCUAACUAUAUGCUUAACACAUGCAAGUCGAACUUUGUUUUCGGAGAGCUGGGCAGAAGGAAAAGAGGCUCCUAGAAGAAGUUCUCUCGCCCUGCUUCAAGACUACACGACACGCACUACGGAUUUGACCUAACGGCCUCCGUUUGCUGGAAUCAGAAUAGUUGAGAACAAGUGGCAAACGGGUGCGUAACACGUGGGAAUCUACCGAACUGUUUGGGCCAAAUCCUGAAGAAAGCUCCAAAGCGCUGUUUGAUGAGCCUGCGUAGUAUUGGUAGUUGGUUAGGUAAAGUCUGACCAAGCCAAUGAUGCUUACAUGGUCUUUUCGGAUGAUCAACCACACUGGGACUGAGACACGGCCUGGACCCACACAGGUGGAGCAGCGGGGAAUCUUAGACAAUAGGCGAAAGCCCGAUCCAACAAUAUUGCAUGUGUGAAGAAGGGCAAUGCCACUUGUAAAGCUCCUUCGUCGAGUGCGCGAUCAUGAUAGGACUUGAGGAAGAAGCCCCGGCUAACUCCGUGCCAGCAGCAGCGGUAAGACGGGGGGAGUGUUCUUCGGAAUGACUGGGCGUAAAGGGCACGUAGGCGGCGAAUCGGGUAGAAAGUGAAAGUCGUCAAAAAGUGUCGGAAUGCUCUCGAAACCAAUUCACUUGAGUGAGAUUGAGGAAAGUGGAAUUUCAUCUGUAGGGGUGAAAUCCGUAGAUUUACGAAGGAACGCCAAAAGCGAAGGCAACUCUGUGAGUCCCUACAGACGCUGGGGUGCGAAAGCAUGGGGAGCGAACAUGAUUAGAUACCCUGGUAGUCCAUGCCGUAAAUGAUAAGUGUUCGCCCUUGUCCUAUGCGGAUCUGGGGCCUAGCUAACAGGUGAAACACUCCACUUGGGAAGUACGAUCGUAAGACCGAAACUCAAAGGAAUUGACGGGGGCCUGCACAAGCGACAAAGCAUGUGGUUUAAUUCAAUACAACGUGCAAAACCUUACCAGCCCUUGACAUAUGAAUAACGAAACCUAUCCUUAAUAGGAUGGCACUGACUUUAAUACAGGUGCUGGAUGGAUGUCGUCAGCUCGUGCCGUGAGAUGUUUGGUCAAGUUCUAUAACGAGCGAAACCCUCGUUUUGUGUUGCUAAGACAUACGCCUAAGGAGAAAUUGCCACCAAAGUGAACCAAGGAGCCGAGUUACGUGGCAGCGCUACUACAUGAUUGAGUGCGAGCAGAUAGCUGUGCUUUCAGCAAAAAAUUUACCAUUGGGUGAACCGAAGUCGUCUUACCCAGGACCCAUGGAGACCUACAUAUAGUGAAGUCAAAGUACAACUGAGCGUGGAGGUUUGGUCGAAAUUGGUUACGACGACGUCUAGUUGGCGGUGGAGGAAGACUCGGCAUGAAGGCCAGCCUCCCGGUGGUGUGGCACGUAAUGGUAAUGGUACGCGCGCUCCUCCUAAACAAAGAAAAAGGUGUGUAUCGCACUCAUGAUGGACUGCCACACACGUGCGCAUGGCUCUUAUGGGCUGGGCCACACACGUGCUACAGUGGCAAUACAAUGGGAAGCAAGGUUGUAAGGUGUAGUGAAUCCGGAAAUAUUGCCUCAGUUUGGAUUUUUCUUUGCAACUUGGGAUCAUUAAGUUGAAAUAUCUAGUAAUCGCGGAUCAGCAUGCCGCGGUCAAUAUGUACCCGGGCCCUGUACACACUUCCAGUCACACCCUGGUAAUUGGUUUCGCCCGAAGCAUCGGACCAAUGAUCACCCAUGACUUCUAUGUACCACCAGUGCCACAAAGGCCUUUGGUGGUCUUAUCGGCGCAUACCACGGUGGGGUCUUUGACUGGGGUGAAGUCGUAACAAGGUAUCCGUAGGGGAACUUGUGGAUG